rnacentral:rRNA from 1 species
GACGAACGCUGGCGGCGUGCUUAACACAUGCAAGUCGAGCGGUAAGGCCCUUCGGGUACGACGAGCGGCGAACGGGUGAGUAACACGUGGGUGACCUGCCUCUAGCUCUGGGAUAAGCCUGGGAAACUGGGUCUAAUACCGGAUAUGACUCCACGGCGCAUGUUGUGGGGUGGAAAGCCUUGUGUGGCUAGAGAUGGGCCCGCGGCCUAUCAGCUUGUUGGUGGGGUGAUGGCCUACCAAGGCGACGACGGGUAGCCGGCCUGAGAGGGCGACCGGCCACACUGGGACUGAGACACGGCCCAGACUCCUACGGGAGGGCAGCAGUGGGGAAUCUUGCGCAAUGGGCGAAAGCCUGACGCAGCGACGCCGCGUGAGGGAUGACGGCCUGGUGUAA